AAAUAGAACUUUGCAGAGAGAGUUAACAGGGCGUGAAACCGUUAAUUGGCAAACGAAUCGGAGCCACGAAGUCGUUUCGUUGAAGCUGGGUCUAGUUCAGCACAAGAGGACCCCUUCUUGUGUGUAUUCUAGGUUCGGCCCUCUGUAAGCGUACACUGCAACCAGUUAGACGAUUGGCGAUGGGCCCAGUUGUGUCACUGGGGUUAGUAGUAGUAGGGCGGGUUUUAUUCUGUCUUGCUGCUGGACACUAGUGGGUGAACUAUCACCAAAAACUGACUGGCACAAUGAAAAUCGCCUAGCGGCGUUUCCAUAGAAAGCGGCGCUUGCAUUGGUGUUUACAUGUCUGACCGUGGGGUUUAAGCUCAGCAUUUUUGAAUUUGGACUUGCUGGCUACCAGUGGGGGAACUCCUGGUGCCUGUACAGCUUCCAUCUAAUCGGGUGUUGACUUGAUUCUACGUCGUUCAGAUAUGCUACGAUUGAGCAUCAAUGUAAGGUAGCUCGCAAUCUUAUUGGCAGUGAGUAGGUCGGCUUUCCGAACGACCCGUCUUGAAACACGGACCAAGGAGUCUAAUUAGGCAUCAAGUCGAUCGGUCUUGAAUAGGCCAGACAGUGGAAUUCCCAUAGAUUAAGGCGUAGAGAAAUCAUGUGAUCAUUUGGGCAAACCAGCUCUUAUGCGCAACAUGUGCCUGCUCGUAUAGCAAUGUAGCAAUAAUUGCUGGGCGGAGCAAAGAGAUGCCUGAUUGGUACCCGAAAGAUGGUGAUGCUUGGGCAAAUUGAAGCCAGAGGAAACUCUGGUGGAGGAUUGUAGCGAUUCUGACGUGCAAAUCGAUCGUCAGACCUGAGUAUAGGGGCGAAAGACUAAUCGAACCAUC
rnacentral:rRNA from 1 species